rnacentral:rRNA from 1 species
AAUGGGCAACCGGCGAACGGGUGCGUAACACGUGAGCAACCUGCCGAUCUGUGUGGAAUAGCCGGCCCAACGGCCGGGUAAUACCGCAUACGCUCAGUCUGUAGCAUUACGGAUUGAGGAAACCUUUUUGGGCGGAUCGAGGGGCUCGCGGCCUAUCAGCUAGUUGGCGAGGUAAUGGCUCACCAAGGCGAUGACGGGUAGCUGGUCUGAGAGGAUGGCCAGCCACAUUGGGACUGAGAUACGGCCCAGACUCCUACGGGAGGCAGCAGUGGGGAAUAUUGCGCAAUGGCCUAACGGCUGACGCAGCGACGCCGCGUGUGGGAUGAAGCCCUUCGGGGUGUAAACCACUGUUGCCCGGGACGAACAGCAAGCUUCAGCUUGCCUGACGGUACCGGGUGAGGAAGCACCGGCUAACUCCGUGCCAGCAGCCGCGGUAAUACGGAGGGUGCGAGCGUUGUCCGGAAUCACUGGGCGUAAAGGGCGCGUAGGUGGUGCGAUAAGUGUGUGGUGAAAGCCCGGGGCUUACCCCGUGUCUGCCAUGCAUACUGGCGGACUCUAGGACUACACAGGCCGUAUAUUUCCCGAUGUAUCGCUGGAAAACUAAGUCCAGAUCACCAUCUUGCCUUAGACAACCUGUACGUCAGAACUAACAGAAGGCGAAACCCCG